UGCAUCAGUCUCCUCCAGCUCUAAAGAACUCGACCCCGAGUUCUCAUUUUGAUAAAGAGCUUCCCAUUCAUGUUGACUCCUCCAAUGAACAAGAGACCACCCUCCUGAAUCACAUUGAGUGAAAUGCAAAGAAGGGGUUAUGGAUACCAACUGUGAUUCUAAUUCCUUAGUACAUGUUUGGUUAUCCAGUGGGAAAGGGGAAACGCAUGUCUGUCUUCCUCAAAAGCGCUUUGACGUUGUUUGGCUCUCCUUCACUCUUCCGCCGUCGCCGCAAGUUUGCAUCAUCAUAAUCGAUUUUCAAUGAAGCUGCAAUUCCUAGCUUCUAAAAAUCAAUUUUCACAACCGUAGAUCAAAAUCAAUCGGUUAACCUACCUCAAAACUUCUUUAUAUAUGUUGCCUCAUCUCUCGCCCUUUUCAUUCUCUCAAGCACGCAAGAAAAGGAAAUUAAGCAAAGUUCCAAAUAGCAGCAGUGUUGGAUAGCUCAAGGUGCUGUUCCUGGCCUGCUAACCUGCUACGGCUGGGGGUAGUUUUUUGGCCAAGGGUCUGGUUGGUUUUUGUUGUCUCUGUAGUUGCUUUCUAGGCUUUUUUUAUGUUAACUGGACUGCCUCUUCCUUCUGGUGUUUCGGUUUGCAGACAUCAGUUGGGCAAACAUGUUUAAGGUGCACUCAAGUUUCAAUAUUUCAUCGUCUUCAAUAAUGAGGUUCAAGUGGUUAUUGCAACAAUGGACACAACUUUAUUAGAAUGAAUGCUGAUAUGGAUGUUGAUUUCAGUCGGUAUGAGGAUGAAGACAUAACCCUUGAUCGCGAUGAUUAUCGUAGACCAGUUAAUUUGAAUUUAUCUCAAAAUUUAAAUAUAGCUUCUGCAUUUAAGAUGAAUCAUGUUCGAGACUCGGUUCGAGAUCAAAUUAUAGAGUUCAAGAAAAAUAAUUAGUAUUGUAUUAAUGUUUCAAACUUGCACUACACUUUAUAUUAUA